GAGAUUUUCUGCUUAAAAACCUCAGCUUUGUCCGGCUAAGAACUUGCUGUAUUCAACUGGACGUAUAAGAGAAUUUAAGUACCUUUAUCUGCACUUUUUUUU